rnacentral:tmRNA from 1 species
AAACUUGCAAAUUCCAGUCUAAAAGACUAUAAUUUGUUUGCUGCGCAUGCAGUGAUGAUUCUGAAGCCGUUGUGCAAUAGUCAUUUUGGACUGGGGGGCGGUACCCCACAGCUCCACCAUUACUUGAUAUGACUGUGUGUCGUAUUUAGUCAUGGGGCUGACAUAGUUUCGACAGAUGAUGAAAGACAAACUGGUUGAAUCCGACAUGGUGUCGUAAAAAGCCAACUAAAAACUGAAUGGCGAUAGAAUCGCUGCGAACGACAAUGUUCGCCUUGCAAUGGCUGCCUAAUUAUGGCGUUGAAU